UACGGAGGGGGCUAGCGUUGUUCGGAAUUACUGGGCGUAAAGCGCACGUAGGCGGCUUUGUAAGUUAGAGGUGAAAGCCCGGAGCUCAACUCCGGAAUUGCCUUUAAGACUGCAUCGCUAGAACGUCGGAGAGGUGAGUGGAAUUCCGAGUGUAGAGGUGAAAUUCGUAGAUAUUCGGAAGAACACCAGUGGCGAAGGCGACUCACUGGACGACUGUUGACGCUGAGGUGCGAAAGCGUGGGGGAGCGAUCCGG
rnacentral:rRNA from 1 species